GUUGUUUCAGUGCAACCAUAGAUGCUGUCAACAGGUAACUGCUGCUGGGUGCUACUGAGGAGAGGCCUUUGUACCUAAAGUAAUUCCUUUUUUGUCACAACCAGAAUCUUCUCUGAAGUGAGAAUUUGCAAUAAAGCACCUACAGGGGAACUAUUAGGUCAUGGCUUGAACUGGUGAUAGAGUACCUGAUGAAGGGGAGUGGCUGGCCCAGGGAACACAGGCUAAGUGUUUGCACCUGUGCUCCACACAUGACCAGAUGGGCUGGACCCAGGGUGGGGGCACCCUGGGCUCCUGUAAGGGCCAGCCAAAGAAGGGAGAGCAUCCCUUGGACCUACACUGCUCCCUGAGGAGGAGUGCUGCGUAGCCAGAGAUUCCUAGCACCAGUUGGGUGACUUUGGCUCUGCUCUCUGUAUGUGGCUAUUGGCCUACCCACAAAUGCUUUAUCUGGUGUUACUAAGAACCUAUCAGAAGUUUUGCUUUUCUGUGAGCAGAACAGCCUUCCACCUCUGAUGGAAUGAAUGAAAAAUGAUUGGCCUUCUUUUGCCUUUUGUGGCUCUCUAGCUAUGGGCACAGAACCCUGGUCCUUCUGUUUCAUUGGUGGCUUUCUGAAUUCCAAUAUGGCACUUAUUUUGAUGCUGCUUGUGCUACCACUGACUUGUCUCACGGAGAGUCUGCUUUGGAAAUUUCAUGAUUGACGUUUCCAAAUGCUACUAUCUGCUGGAUUUGGAUACCACAGCUGAAACCCCAAGGGAGCCAAGAUACUCCUCCAACGAAGAGGAGUGGGUAACCAUUGCCUACAAGCCAUUCCUAGAUACCUCCAGGUAUGUUUUACAUGUUUGAAAGGGAAUGCGAAAGUGUGACAGAUCUGUGAACUAUUUUCACGCAACAAUCAGCUUACAAUAGUAGUUAUACACAGCAAGGAAAGAAAUGUUGGCAAAUGCCAGCUUGAAAUCCAAUUUCCAGUAAAGGCAGCUUGCUGGCUACGGUAGAGCCACUGUCAAACUUGUAUGUGCACCUAGGUUGCUUUAGAGGAUGAAGCAAGUCAGGAAGAGUGGGGAACAAGGAUUAUUUUACAUCUUGUUGAUGUAAUGUUUUUUGUUUUCCUUUCUAAAGAAAUAAGGUGUAUGUCAUCUCUUCCAGUAGACUUCUGAAUCUUGUUUCAGCCAAAUUCAGUAGACAGGUGUAAGUCAGUCCCAAAGAGUGAACUCUCAGAAGUUUCACAAAAGCUGGCAGAAGAAGAGAGGAGGCAGCCACAGUGGGUGAAAGUGAUCAAGGUCGCACCUUUAUUAGACAUGGAGAAGUCCUGUAACAGACCCCUGUCAGAAUCCAGGUUUUCAUUAGUUCUGCUGCUCUCUUAGUAACUUGUUAGUGUAUUUGACAAAGAAUUUUUUUGAGAAGCAAAGGUUGCAAUUGCCAUCCUCCAGGCUAACAGUGGGAUCCAGCUUGUCAAACUAGGAGAGUUUUUAACGCAUCCCUACGAAAACAAACCCUCAGCUAUUUGGGGAUGGUUUUUCCACUGUUUCAAGCUUUGGCCAUGCAGUUGUCAUAUCAGGGCAGAGUGGUUGACUGGAAAAGUCUCUUAAACAAACAAACACUAACAGAGUUCAGUGCCUUCCUGUUUUCUAUAUGAGACCUUAUUAUUUCCUCCUAAUAGAUCCCUCCAGGGAGUGGGGCUGGUGAAAGCAGUUGGACAGU
rnacentral:lncRNA from 1 species